rnacentral:rRNA from 1 species
GACGAACGCUGGCGGCGUGCUUAACACAUGCAAGUCGAACGGUGAAGCGAGUGCUUGCACUCGUGGAUCAGUGGCGAACGGGUGAGUAACACGUGAGUAACCUGCCCAUCACUCUGGGAUAAGCACUGGAAACGGUGUCUAAUACUGGAUACGACCAACCCUUGCAUGGGGUGUUGGUGGAAAGAUUUAUCGGUGAUGGAUGGACUCGCGGCCUAUCAGCUUGUUAGCGGGGUAAUGGCCCACCAAGGCGACGACGGGUAGCCGGCCUGAGAGGGUGACCGGCCACACUGGGACUGAGACACGGCCCAGACUCCUACGGGAGGCAGCAGUGGGGAAUAUUGCACAAUGGGCGAAAGCCUGAUGCAGCGACGCCGCGUGAGGGAUGACGGCCUUCGGGUUGUAAACCUCUUUCAGCAGGGAAGAAGCGAAAGUGACGGUACCUGCAGAAGAAGCACCGGCUAACUACGUG